rnacentral:rRNA from 1 species
GACGAACGCUGGCGGCGUGCUUAACACAUGCAAGUCGUACGGUAAGGCCCUUUCGGGGGUACACGAGUGGCGAACGGGUGAGUAACACGUGAGUAACCUGCCCACAACUUUGGGAUAACGCUAGGAAACUGGUGCUAAUACUGGAUAUGUGCUCCUGCUGCAUGGUGGGGGUUGGAAAGCUCCGGCGGUUGUGGAUGGACUCGCGGCCUAUCAGCUUGUUGGUGGGGUAGUGGCCUACCAAGGCGGCGACGGGUAGCCGGCCUGAGAGGGUGACCGGCCACAUUGGGACUGAGAUACGGCCCAGACUCCUACGGGAGGCAGCAGGGGGGAAUAUUGCACAAUGGGCGCAAGCCUGAUGAAGCAACGCCGCGGGCGGGAUGACGGCCUUCGGGUUGUAAACCGCUUUCAGCAGGGACGAAGCUUUUUGUGACGGUACCUGCAGAAGAAGCACCGGCUAACUACGUG